AACGAACGCUGGCGGCAUGCCUAACACAUGUAAGUCGAACGAGACCUUCGGGUCUAGUGGCGCACGGGUGCGUAACGCGUGGGAACCUGCCCUUAGGUUCGGAAUAACUCCCCGAAAGGGGUGCUAAUACCGGAUAAUGUCUUCGGACCAAAGAUUUAUCGCCUUUGGAUGGGCCCGCGUUGGAUUAGCUAGUUGGUAGGGUAAAAGCCUACCAAGGCGACGAUCCAUAGCUGGUCUGAGAGGAUGAUCAGCCACACUGGGACUGAGACACGGCCCAGACUCCUACGGGAGGCAGCAGUGGGGAAUAUUGGACAAUGGGCGAAAGCCUGAUCCAGCAAUGCCGCGUGAGUGAUGAAGGCCUUAGGGUUGUAAAGCUCUUUUACCCGGGAUGAUAAUGACAGUACCGAGAGAAUAAGCUCCGGCUAACUCCGUG
rnacentral:rRNA from 1 species